UACGGAGGGUGCGAGCGUUGUCCGGAAUCACUGGGCGUAAAGGGCGCGUAGGCGGCAGGGAAAGUCAACGGUGAAAGCUCGGGGCUCAACCCCGAGUCGGCCGUCGAUACUUCUUUGCUUGAGCACUGUAGAGGCAGGUGGAAUUCCGGGUGUAGCGGUGGAAUGCGUAGAGAUCCGGAAGAACACCGGUGGCGAAGGCGGCCUGCUGGGCAGUUGCUGACACUGAGGCGCGACAGCGUGGGGAGCAAACAGG
rnacentral:rRNA from 1 species